rnacentral:ncRNA from 1 species
CCCAAGGUAUGACUCAUGAUUGGGGUGAAGUCGUAACAAGGUAGCCGUAGGAGAACCUGCGGCUGGAUCACCUCCUUU